CAUUACAGAGAGCCGAGCUCUGGUGCCAGAACGAGAAGAGGAGGAGGCGCAACAGCCAACGGCCGAAUAUCGCGGUGAGAGCCAGCGGGCCAGCGCCAGCCUCAGCCUCCUCCAGAAGUACACAAGGAACCGGCGGCGGCAUGUGCGUGUGGCCCGUGUGCGGGCGGCGGUGCCUGAGCAGCGCCAGCGACAGCCUCCUGGGGCAGGUGGCAUCAUGGACGAGAAGGUGUUCACCAAGGAGCUGGACCAGUGUAUCGAGCAGCUGAACGAGUGCAAGCAACUGUCGGAGUCCCAGGUCAAGAGCCUCUGUGAGAAGGCUAAAGAAAUCCAGACGAAAGAAUCCAACGUGCAAUAGGUUCAAUUCCAGUCACUGUGGAGAUGUGCAUGGGCAAUUUCAUGAUCUCAUGGAACUGUUUAGAAUUGGUGGCAAAUCACCAGAUACAAAUUAUUGUUUAUGGGAGAUUAUGUUGACAGAGGAUAUUAUUCAGUUGAAACAGUUACACUGCCUGUAGCUCUUAAGGUUCGUUACCGUGAACGCAUCACCAUUCUUCGAGGGAAUCAUGACAGCAGACACAUCACACAAGUUUAUGGUUUCUAUGAUGAGUGUUUCAGAAAAUACGGAAAUGCAAAUGUUUGGAAAUAUUUUACAGAUCUUUUUGACUAUCUUCCUCUCACUGCCUUGGUGGAUGGGCAAAUCUUCUGUCUACAUGGUGGUCUCUCGCCAUCUGUAGAUACACUGGAUCAUAUCAGAGCACUUGCUCGCCUACAAGAAGUUCCCCAUGAGGGUCCAAUGUGUGACUUGCUGUGGUCAGAUCCAGAUGACCAUGGUGGUUGGGGUAUAUCUCCUCAGGGAGCUGGUUACACCUUUGGACAAGAUAUUUCUGAGACAUUUAAUCAUGCCAAUGGCCUCACGUUGGUGUCUAGAGCUCACCAGCUAGUGAUGGAGGGAUAUAACUGGUGCCAUGACCAGAAUGUAGUAACGAUUUUCAGUGCUCCAAACUAUUGUUAUUGUUGAGGUAACCAAGCUGCAAUCAUGGAACUUGACGAUACUCUAAAAUACUCUUUCUUGCAGUUUGACCCAGCACCUCGUAGAGGCGAGCCACAUGUUACUCGUGGUACCCCAGACUACUUCCUGUAAUGAAAUUUUAAACUUGUACAGUGUUGCCAUGAACCAUAUAUUGACCUAAUGGAAAUGGGAAAAGCAACAGUAACUCCAAAGUGUCAGAAAAUAGUUAACAUUCAAAAAACUUGUUUUCACACGGACCAAAAGAUGUGCCAUAUAAAUAUACAAAGCCUCUUGUCAUCAACAGCCGUGACCACUUUAGAAUGAACCAGUUCAUUGCAUGCUGAAGCAACAUUGUUGGUCAAGAAACCAGUUUCUGGGAUAGUGCUAUUUGUAGUUACUUUUGCUUUCUCUGAGAGACUGCAGAUACUAAAAUGUAAACAUUAACACCUCGUGAAUACAAUUUAACUUCCAUUUAGCUAUAGCUUUACUCAGCAUGACUAUAGAUAAGGAUAGCAGCAAACAAUCGUUGGAGCUUAAUGAACAUUUUUAAAAAUAAGUACCAUUGGUCUAUAUCUCUGUUUUGGUACCAGUACCAUGCUGUUUUGAUUACUGUAGCCUUGUAGUAUAGUUUGAAAUCCGGUAGUGUGAUGCCCCCUGCUGUGUUCUUUUUGCUUAGAAUUGACUUGGCUAUGCGGGCUCUCUUUUGGUUCCAUAUGAAGUUCAUGGUGGUUUUUUCCAGAGAUAUAGACCAAUGGAACAAAACAGAGGCAUCGGAGGCAACACAACAUAUCUACAACCAUAAAAUCUUUGAUAAACCUGACAAAAACAAGCAAUGGGGAAAGGAUUCCCUGUUUAACAAAUGGUGUUGGGAAAACUGGCUAGCCAUGUGCAGAAAGCAGAAACUGGACCCCUUCCUGACACCUUACACUAAAAUUAACUCCAGAUGGAUUAAAGACUUAAACAUAAGACCCGGCACCAUAAAAACCCUAGAAGGAAAUCUAGGCAAAACCAUCCAGACAUAGGAGUAGGCAAGGACUUCAUGAACAAAACACCAAAAGCAUUGGCAACAAAAGCCAAAAUAGACAAAUGGGACCUAAUCAAACUCCACAGCUUCUGCACGGCAAAAGAAACAGUCACUAGAGUGAAUCGGCAACCAACAGAAUGGGAAAAAAUUUUUGCAGUUUACCCAUCUGACAAAGGGCUGAUAUCCAGAAUUUACAAAGAUCUCAAACAGAUUUACAGGAAAAAAACAAACAAGCCCAUUCAAAAUUGGGCAAAGGAUAUGAACAGACACUUUACGAAAGAAGACAUAUAUGAGGCCAACAAUCAUAUGAAAAAAUGCUCAUCGUCACUGGUCAUCAGAGAGAUGCAAAUCAAAACCACAUUGAGAUACCAUCUCACGCCAGUUAGAAUGGCGAUCAUUAAAAAAUCUGGAGACAACAGAUGCUGGAGAGGAUGUGGAGAAAAAGGAACACUUUUACACUGUUGGUGUGAGUGUAAAUUAGUUCAACCAUUGUGGAAGACGGUGUGGCGAUUCCUCAAGGCCUUAGAAAUAGAAAUUCCAUUUGACCCAGCAAUCCCAUUACUGGGUAUAUAUCCAAAGGACUAUAAAUCGUUCUACUAUAAGGACACAUGUACACGAAUGUUCAUUGCAGCACUGUUUACAAUAGCAAAGACCUGGAAUCAACCCAAAUGCCCAUUGAUGACAGACUGCAUUGGGAAAAUGUGGCACACAUACACCAUGGAAUAUUAUGCAGCAAUCAGAAAUAAUGAGUUUGUGUCGUUUGUAGGGACAUGGAUGAAUCUGGAGAACAUCAUUCUCAGCAAACUGACACAAGAACAGAAAAUGAAACACCGCAUAUUCUCACUCAUAGGCGGGUGAUGAAAAAUGAGAACACAUGGACACAGGGAGGGGAGUACUAAACACUGGGGUCUAUUGGGGGGAAAAGGGGAGGGCCAGUGGGAGAGGGAGGUGGGGAGGGAUAGCCUGGGGAGAAAUGCCAAAUGUGGAUGAAGGGGAGAAAGGAAGCAAAACACACUGCCAUGUGUGUACCUAUGCAACUGUCUUGCAUGUUCUGCACAUGUACCCCAAAACCUAAAAUGCAAUAAAAAAUUUAAAAAAAAAAUAAGUACCAAGGUCUCCCCUCUACUUGUGAGUUUUGAAAUGGUUCUUUUUCAUUUCAGGGAUACCAUUUAAUUUAAUUACAUGAUUUGUCUGCACUCAGUUUAUUCCUUACUCAGAUCUUAGCCCUAUGUUGUUCUUUGUUAUUGUCAGAACCUGGUGAGUUGUUUUGAACAGAACUGUUUUUUCCUCUUCCUGUAAGACAAUGUGACUGCACAAGAGCACUGCAGUGUUUUUCAUAAUAAACUUGUGAACAAAAAAAAAAGAA